CCCAGCUCCUGCUCCCCGGCGGCGGCCGAGGAAGACAAACAUAAAGAUGAAGUGCUUAAUUCAAGGUCACACAAUGUCGGGGAUGGACCUCCAGAUUUCCUUACUGACCUGCAUUAUCUUGUGGAUACCUGAGUGAAUUCCACACCACCCAUUUUAUAGAUGAAACCACUGAGACAUGGAGCAACUGACUGAGUAGUCACUGCCCCACCCCUGCCUGGAGCCUCACACAUGACUCGUCUCCUCUCAGUGACCACAGGUUGGUUGAGGGGUUUAACAAGGCUA
rnacentral:lncRNA from 1 species